rnacentral:rRNA from 1 species
AUUGAACGAUGGCGGCAUGCUUUACACAUGCAAGUCGCACGGUAACAGGGAGCUUGCUCCGCUGACGAGUGGCGAACGGGUGAGUAAUGCGUCGGAACGUGCCGAGGAGUGGCGGACAACAUUCGGAAAGGAAUGCUAAUACCGCAUACGUGCUACGGGAGAAAGCAGGGGAUCUUCGGACCUUGCGAUAAAGGACGAGCCUUAGUCGGAUUAGCUAGUUGGUGGGGUAAAGGCCUACCAAGGUGACGAUCGGUAGCGGGUCUGAGAGGAUGAUCCGCCACACUGGGACUGAGACACGGCCCAGACUCCUACGGGAGGCAGCAGUGGGGAAUAUUGGACAAUGGGCGGAAGCCUGAUCCGGCCAUGCCGCGUGUGUGAAGAAGGCCUUUUGGUUGUAAAGCACUUUAAGCGAGGAGGAGGCUACUAGUACUAAUACUACUGGAUAGUGGACGUUACUCGCAGAAUAAGCACCGGCUAACUCUGUGCCAGCCGCCGCAGUAAGAC